ACCCGACUGCUAUUUGGGUGAGAAUAAGCCAUGCGAGUUGAAUGGGAUACCUAAAGUUCCCAUAGCAAACUGCUCAGUAACACAUGAUCAACUUACCCUAUAGAGAAAAAUAACCUCGGGAAACUGAGGAUAAUAUUUCAUAAUUGAAUUGGCUUGGAAAAGUUUUUCAUUGAAAAGGAUAAAAAAAAUAGGUUUUUAUCUGCUAUAGGAUAGGAUCGUGUUCGAUUAUGGUUGUUGGUGAGAUAAUGGCUCACCAAGCCGAUAAUCGAUAGGGGCCGUGAGAGCGGGAGCCCCGAGAUGGGUACUGAGACAACGACCCAGGCCUUACGAGGCGCAGCAGGCGCGGAACCUCCGCAAUACACGAAAGUGUGACGGGGUUACCCAAAGUGUUCAAUAGAACUGUGGUAGGUGAGUAAUGUUCCCUACUAGAAAGGAGAGGGCAAGGCUGGUGCCAGCCGCCGCGGUAAAACCAGCUCUUCAAGUGGUCGGGAUAAUUAUUGGGCUUAAAGUGUCCGUAGCCGGUUUAGUUAGUUCCUGGUAAAAUCGGGUAGCUUAACUAUCUGCAUGCUAGGAAUACUGCUAUACUAGAGGGCGGGAGAGGUCUGAGGUACUACAGGGGUAGGGGUGAAAUCUUAUAAUCCUUGUAGGACCACCAGUGGCGAAGGCGUCAGACUGGAACGCGCCUGACGGUGAGGGACGAAAGCCAGGGGAGCGAACCGGAUUAGAUACCCGGGUAGUCCUGGCCGUAAACGAUGCAUACUAGGUGGUGGUACGGCCAUGAGCCGUAUCAGUGCCGUAGGGAAACCGUUAAGUGUGCCGCCUGGGAAGUACGGUCGCAAGGCUAAAACUUAAAGGAAUUGGCGGGGGAGCACCACAAGGGGUGAAGCCUGCGGUUCAAUUGGACUCAACGCCGGGAAACUUACCAGGGGAGACAGCAGUAUGACGGUCAGGUUGACGACCUUACCCGACGAGCUGAGAGGAGGUGCAUGGCCGUCGCCAGUUCGUGCCGUGAGGUAUCCUGUUAAGUCAGGCAACGAACGAGAUCCGCACCUUUAUUUGCCAACAAGAAGUCACGACUUCGUUGGGAACACUAAAGGGACCGCCGUCGAUAAGACGGAGGAAGGAGCGGGCAAAGGCAGGUCAGUAUGCCCCGAAACCCC
rnacentral:rRNA from 1 species